CCGGCUUGCCGAGCUCUUCGAGAAUCUGGGUCUGCGGCCGUGUGAGCCCUUGGCCUUCCGGCCUUCGGGGUGGUCUGCGGGUUUACGGGGCGGCGGAGCCCUGCUGGAUGAGGCCGGCCUAGCGUCGGCGCUGCGGCAGGGGGAGGCCGGGGAGGUAGUGGCAGUGGCAUAGGGGCUGAGGAGGGGGCUGCGGCGAGCUGGGGGCGCCAAUGGGCGAGGGGGCGGCGGUGGAAUAGACGCGGCGGCGGCCGUAGGAGGCAAAAGGGCGGAGAGGGUGGGGCGACCAGCUGGAGCGUCUGAUGGAGGCGCUGGCGGCGGAGUGCGAGUGGCGGAGGCUCCGGAGACUCUAUCAGUUCCGGGAGAGGGGGCUGGGGCGGGAACGAGAGCGGAAAAAGGCGAAGCGGGGGCGAAGGGAGGGCCCGAAGGCAGUGCUGCGGAAGAGUAUGUUGGCGUAGGACCGCGAGGAGAAGGCGUGGUCCCGCCUGGGUUCGCUCCGAGACGCAUAGCAGAGCCUCUACCUCGCCCUGCCGCACCGGCCGUUGUAGAGGUGCCACUUAAACGACCAACCUUACCCGCCUCCUCCGCACCUCCACUGGUUCACGGACCUCGACCGGUACUUCACCCCCAACUCCGAAUUACCGAUGUGGAUGUUCACGUAAGACGUCCGAGUAAACUCCUCGUCCCUCCACAGGUUCCCCAAGCUUCAGAUACUCCUUUACGCGUCUUUCCCCAUGUCCGACCUAUAUAAACGCAUAUUGUACGACGAACUACGGGAACGGUUCAGACCUUACCAACUGGUUCGAAUGGUUCAGAAACUUCUAUACUUUGUUUUCAUGACACUCGGCCUACGCAUGUGUAUAUGAUAUGAUUAAUCUUACAGACCCUCCCGACCCUUCUGAAGAUUUAAAGAGAGUAAAAAACUACUUUACCAUAGUUUUCCUACACGAGAAUUGGAAUAACGAAUAUUAUGAGAAUAACUCCGAGAACCAUUCUUGUUCUACCACCUGUUCGAUUAGAAACAUGAAAGGUUUUACUAGCUCUCGCUGACGGUCGGGUUAGUUAAGUGUAUAUCGUAAUGUAACCUAUAAGACCGUUGUCUUCCUGUUGACGUGUCUGAUUUACUCCAAGACCUAUAGACACUAUCUAUAUACUUGUUUAGUUAAAUAAGAAUAAACCAGUUCAGUGAAUCGUUUAGACCCGUACAUUCACUCCGUGUAUUACAUAAGACAGUCUACACCUUGAGGAUACUUUGGCCUCUGUACCUACGAAAGCAUAGUUACGAACUCCACAAUACGUUAAGUCCUUUUUGUAAUCUCCGAUAACUAGAGGAUGUAUACUACGGACGUUUUCCCCAACGAUGACUACAAUCGUACAUGUUAUACCAGAAAAGUCGGGAACCUUUCGAGUUUGUCCAGAGAAAGUAUUGGUCAGAGAAACUGUUCUACUUUCGAUUGCCCUAACGAGGCCUAGAAAAAUGGAUGUUGUAACACUAUAGUUCGAUACCAUCUCAACCGAAUCAACCAUUUCGUAGACCUAACAAACUUCUUUACUUGCGAUCGUCAACAUUUGGACUACAGUAGUGAAUGUUAAGAAACUAUUUGACAGAACCCUUUUUGUCUCUAGAACUACUUCGGGUGUACGAAAAGUUUCUCUACGUCCUCUUCCCUAUACUAGGACUACAGAAGUGAAUGUCGUAUGACUAACUUACGAAACCCUUUAGAUUAUUCCAACUAUACCGUACGUCGAAUAAACGACUGUACUAACGUCUCCCUACGUAGGGAUUACAACAUUGAAUAUUGUAGAAUGAACUAACAAACCUCUCCGUACCCUUCUGUCGUCUUCGAGUAUUUGUAAUACUCUGAUACUUCGUCGUUCCCAAUUGAGGACUGAGCUAUUGAAUGAGUUAUGAACUCGCCAACCUUUGAUCUAGAGUCGCUUGUCACGCUUAUGCUUUCGGUCGAGCCCGAUGUUCAACCCAACAGUCAGGAGAUUCUACUACCACCGUCCCUAGACGGGACCAAGAAGUCGAACACAUGGCCUCAGACAGAUGUUACAACUUAACAUAAAGUUACGAGGUUACUAUAGUUUGAUACACAAGUCAGUGAUAACUUUUAAAGACCGAAAGAAGAAAACUUACUGUUCAAUCCCUAGAACCAGUCCGUAUUAUGUACCAAUGAACCCAACGUUAGGACUUGUUUAGUACUUGGUAUAUGACCUAUUCGAUAACACAUUUUAAGUUUUAGUUGUCAAGUUCUUCGUUCAUAGGGAUAAAGUUCAAGGACGUCUAUACACCCAAGAACGUUAAUUCUGAAUGUCCCAUAGGUUGUGCUACUGACGUUCAGACAUUAAACCAAUAGGAUACAAUACGUUGACUCUGUCCAAUCUGCUCAGUACUGUAGUUUUUCUCUCUUGAACCACUAAAAAAUCCAACAACCUAAUUUCCUACGAACAGUACCGUUUCAAGACCAACUGUAACUACUAUGUGAGGUUUUGUCCAUUCUCAAGAUGACACGGUACAAUUGAUGGAAAUUCUACACUUCUUCUAUAGAAUAUUUAGAGUCUCCAGUAUAAACAUCAGUGCCAGAAUGGACUAUUGAUAAAAUAUUAUAAUUAGCAGUAACAAAAACCGUAGGACGUCACGAUGUCUUACGUCAGUUAAAGUGAACUCAGCACUUAGGAACUAGGAAAGACGAAAGAACGAAGGAAGGGAUACAAAACUACCGUAAACACCAUUGAAACAUUACGUAGGUCGUGUACAUCGAACUUUUUGGUAGACUAACAAAAACACCUUCAGUGUGAAACAACGACAAUAGUUCUAUGUAUUAAGUUUUGCAAGUUCCCCUGUACCUUAAUAAUCGCUAAGUAGAGUCUAAAUUGGUCUUUGUCCUCCUAUAGGUCAUGCCGAGCUGAACUAACCUCUACUCUUCAUCCGAUCUUUGACUCCUGUACUCGAAAACACCGGCUUGAUCUAUUAAUGAGUAACGAACGGACUUUAUGUCUAUGUACAGUGAGAAUAUAUUACCUACAAAUCCGGGAACUAUGGAUUAUGUCAAACUGACUUAUUUGAAUAGGAUCAUUAUGCCAAACAAUAGACUAAUAAAGAGAUAAGAAAAGAGAGAACUUAAGGAGACAACUAUAACGACAGGUACAGAACAUGUAACGAUCUCGUAAUCCCGUUACUUGGCUGCAAAUAUUGUAGGAUUGAUUCGUUGUCUUUAACAUCUUCAUGUAGUAUACAUGGUUAUCUGAUUAAUUGAAGGACGUGUGUAGAAAUAAUCCGACUAGAACGGACGGUCGGACCACAGAAAUAGUCAAAGAGAAGUGAACUACUCCUUGUUAUCUGUUCAUUUUCUUCUUCUUCUUCUUCUUCUUCUUCUUCUUCUUCUUCUUCUUCUCUUCAGUGUAGACAAACUGACGAAGAUCUAUGAAGAUAAGAGGAAGUAAUAAUUAAAAGAUCACAAGAUCGAUAUUCAUCUUCAACUCCACACUUCCGCAAGGUUUCGAGACAUUUAUCUCCAGGAGUGGAGAUCAAACACUGGUCUGAUACAUGGGG
rnacentral:rRNA from 1 species